rnacentral:RNase_P_RNA from 1 species
GGCCUGCCGCUGGCGGCCCAUAGUGGCGCGAGAGGAAAGUCCGGGCAGCACAGGGCACCCCACUUCCGAAAAUAGAAGCUGCCGGCGACGGUAGGUUAGGGUAGAAGAAAACGACCGCCAUUCCUUUUCCUGAAAUAUGGAGCUGUUCUUGGAAUGGCAAGGGUGAGAAGGCGGUGUAAGAGACCACCAGGCGGCGGGCGAUCGUCGUGCUGUACCCGCUGGGGGCUGCAAGUUCAAGUAAACCGUUCCGAGAGAGGAUGGCCCGUCCGAGUCGACGAAGGCUUGAGCAGCAAUGCAACAGAGCCGGGGCUCGUGCGGCGGAGGGUAGAACGCUUGAGCCGUGGGGUGACUCACGGCGUAGAUAAAUGGCAGGCGCUGCACCACAUGAGGCAGCACAGAACCCGGCUUAUAGGAA